UACAAUAUGUUGUAGAUCAUGCAAUGAAAAUUGUUUUCCUCAAUACUGACCCCUCUAUUGUAACGACUUAUGAUGCUGUUCAAAAUGUGCAUUCUGUGUGGACUCUCCGGAGAGUCAAAUCAGAGGAAGAGAAUGUUGUUUUAAAGUUCUCUGAACAGGGGGGAACCCCACAGAAUGUGGCCACUAGCAGCUCCCUCACAGCACAUCUCAGAAGCCUCUCCAAAGGAGAUUCCCCUGUGAUUUCACCUUUCCGGAAUUACUCCUCCAUUCACAGCCAGAGUCGCUCAACCUCAUCACCCAGUCUACAUUCUCGCUCACCUUCUAUUUCCAACAUGGCAGCUCUAAGUCGUGCUCAUUCUCCUGCGUUAGGAGUGCACUCUUUUUCAGGGGUGCAAAGGUUCAACAUUUCAAGCCAUAAUCAGUCUCCAAAGAGACAUAGUAUUUCUCAUUCUCCAAAUAGUAAUUCUAAUGACUCCUUUCUUGCACCAGAAACGGAGCCAAUUGUUCCUGAACUGUGUAUUGACCAUUUGUGGACAGAAAUGAUUACUAAUAUAAGAGAGAAAAAUUCACAAGCCUCAAAAGUGUUUAUUACAUCUGACCUAUGUGGGCAAAAUUCCUGUGCUUUUUAGUAGAGUCCCAGCUCC